rnacentral:ncRNA from 1 species
GUGGAAAGCCUCAGCUGCGCGGCGUCCGAGGGCUUCGUGCCCAAAGUGCUAUGCUUCGGCCGGCAAAAAACAGUCAACUCAGAACUGGCACGGACCGGGGGAAUCCGACUGUCUAAUUAAAACAAAGCAUUGCGAUGGCCGCUGGUCGGUGUUGACGCAUGUGAUUUCUGCCCAGUGCUCUGAAUGUCAAUGUGAGAGAUUCAUCCAAGCGCGGGUAAACGGCGGGAGUAACGGGAGCUCUCGCACCCUUCUAGGGGGGGACGACCCUGCCCCCUCCGCCGGCUUGGCAAUUUUUUCCACUACUUUCUGUAGACCCUGACCGAGUGGUCGGGGUUCCAAGUCUGGAGUCCUGGCCGUCUGCCCGUAUGACGCCAUAACUGCCCCAGGCUGGAUGGCCGCCUGGCUGAGGCCUAUGCAAGUCCAGUACUAGGACAGUCGGUGAGGGCCUCUGUCCCCUUGCUUGAGCCAUGUGCAGCGGCCAGGCUCUACCCGUGUUCCUCGGAGCACGGGAUUGUUCGGGUCCCUCUGCCCAGUCAUCUCAGAGUGACAAUCCUUCGCUUCUCUUAUAGCUUCCGGGGGUAACGCCAGCAGGGCCUGGAAUUGCCCUGCCUACCCGGAAGUGGGCUCGCUACCAGCCCUUCUUCUUGGGCUUUAGCACCCCUAGAGCUGGGCUUGUCCUGUCCUGCUUCUGGGUGGAGUUAAAAACCUGGCCCAUGGAACAUCUCUUGGGCGGGGGUCCGCUUGGCCUCAUCUGGCCCUGUGGCUCCCGGCACUUUAAGAGAAACAGGCUCUAGCCAAAUGCCUCGUCAUCUAAUUAGUGACGCGCAUGAAUGGAUUAACGAGAUUCCCACUGU